rnacentral:tRNA from 1 species
GCGCCCGUAGCUCAGCUGGAUAGAGCGUUUGAUUCCGGUUCAAAAGGUCGUGGGUUCGACUCCUGUCGGGCGCGCCA